UGGUACUAGUGUCAAUGUAAGGAUUUAUAUUCCGCUUAUUAACGACGCUUUUCCAGGUCGAGGUCGUCUGUGGACACUAAAAAGCGUCGACAAAGUCACAUGACCCGCACGUGACUAUUUUGGUUGCCCGGGAUUUCAAUUUUUAAGGAAAAAAAAAUCGAGGUUAGAAGAAUGUCCCGAGUUAAACCGCCUAAUUAGCUAGGUCUAGUUUCAGAAAAAUAAAAAAUAAAAAAAAAAGAAAGAAAAAGCUAGGUCAGUCAUCACCAAAUUUGCUGCUUCUGGAAAUCGCUAAUUUGCUUCAUCCAUCGUUCUGACGUUCUCCAUUCAAAUUCGUCUCCCAAUUCGUUCUGGAAAUUGUGGGAAUUUGGGAAAUUUCUUCUUCAACCUGUCAAAUUCAUCGAUUUAUAAAGAAGGAAGAAGAAUCUUGUGCCAGGAGGAUUGUUGAAGGCUGAAUUGAGACAUGGUGGAGACCUUCUGACGGCACGCCACCUGCAACUUUCUCCCACCUUUUAAUUGACCUCUGCUACCGUAGCCACUGCCGGCACGCCACCUGAAACUUCUUGAAGAUUGGCUACUCUGCUAUUGCUGAGGAACUUUCACCUUGGAUGCCAACUCAAAAUUAGAUUGCACUUGAAGAACUUCGUUUCAAAAAGAAAGAGGCCAAGAGAUAGAGGACAAUUAGCCGACGCCUUGAAAAUGGUUGACCCAGUCAAAACUCCAGCUAAGUCAGCAGCGUUGUUGCGCAAAGAAGCUGCUCUUACAAAGAAAGCAUCCGUUGAAGCCAAAGAGUCCAAGAAAGGCGGGGUAAGACCGCCUGACUUAGUAUUAUUUUUUUUACAUUUCUUGCAAAUGCUGUUUGCCGGUUGGGUAUAUUUAACUUCUUAAUUUGCAGGACUCUGUUAAACGCGUGCCACGCUCCUUCUCCAAGCUUUUCAAAAGGCAAGUGGAGGAUUUGAAAAAGGCCCCGGCUUCCAAGGCCGCCAAGAGGGACCCCCCAUUCAACGACCGGUGGCAAAUCGCCUUCUGCAAUGAAGAUUCUGAGCGAAAGCUCAGAGCGCUCGCAGAAGAAUGCGCCGAAUGUCUCUACGGCAUCGAAGGGUGGCCAGCCACCUAAUGUUGCAGCCGGUGCGACAACAAUUGGGGAGGGGAUUCCUACGCCCCAUCCGGACACACAAGGUGAGGGCAAGAUUGAAAUACCUUGGCCAUUUGACUUCAUGAGAGUCAAGACUAAGGUAGACCCCUCCGGGGGUUCAGUCAGCAGCCGGCAACGGAUGAAUGCCAACUAUG